AAGAUUAGAGCCUCUCUCUGGAUUGUUCCUCAGAACCAGAAGAACUGUGUGGAGUGGCAGCAACUGGAGGAAGCAGAAUGUCCCCGAGCAAGUCCUACUGUUCUCAAAUACAACGUCUAUUUUCUCUUUAUCGCAUGUCUUUAGUUGAUGAAAGAGGGUAAUACCCUGGCUUCAUGUGAAUGAAGUCAGGUUCAACCAUGUUGGCUUUUUUGUUUAUUAUUGUCUACCUGCUUGUGUAUGGCUUUAAGACGGUAGACACAAAUUCUUAAAUCUUUGUACAAAAGGGGCAAGGAAGUUGGAAUGAGCCGUUGGGUAUUAGCUGUGUAAAUCUCUAUUUUUCCUUCUGCAUGUGGCCACAUGCUACUUCAAUGUUAUGUUCUUUUCUCACUUUUUUGCACUAUUUACACACAGAAAAAAAAUCAUUUUGGCCAACAAUGUUUAUUUAAGAUCAACUUGAUACUCACUGAUGCUCUAAUAUGUGCCUUUAACGAAAGCCUCCUGAAGCAAAACUCACGCAGUAAACCGUCUUUGUUAUCUAUCACUUCUAGAUCCAAGAAGUGUCAUCAGUGCAUCAAAGCCAGGAAGCAGAUAGAAAAUCAGGGUUAGAAAUCCAAGAUCAAGACAGUAACAGGUCAAGUUCAGGAGAGGUGGAGGGGUCAGAGAGCAGGAGCAUAAUUAGAGCAUAAUUGAAACCCAAGGUGACCUCUGCCUUAAACAGGAUUUGAGGACAGCCCCUGUAAUUGGAUUCAGGGGUCUACAUAACUCUAAGUUUACGAGAAACCUCAUAGAGUGAACCUUGGGAAUACAGGAAC
rnacentral:lncRNA from 1 species